AACGAACGCUGGCGGCGCGCCUAAUACAUGCAAGUCGAGCGAGAAGGUGUAGCAAUACACUUGUAAAGCGGCGAACGGGUGAGGAAUACAUGGGUAAUCUACCAUCGAGUGGGGAAUAACCAACCGAAAGGUUGGCUAAUACCGCGUACGCCUCCGAGUCUUCGGGUUCGGAGGGAAAGCUGCACUGUGAGUGUAGCGCUCUUUGAUGAGCUCAUGUCCUAUCAGCUUGUUGGUAGGGUAACGGCUUACCAAGGCUAUGACGGGUAGCUGGUCUGAGAGGAUGAUCAGCCACACUGGGACUGAAACACGGCCCAGACUCCUACGGGAGGCAGCAGUGGGGAAUAUUGCGCAAUGGACGAAAGUCUGACGCAGCGACGCCGCGUGAGUGAAGAAGGCC
rnacentral:rRNA from 1 species